UAUUCCUUUAUAUUGAACUCUUGAGUUCCCAAUUAGUGAUUCUUGUUCUGUUCUGGUUUAGAUCUACAAUUUUCACUUUGACGGUAUCAUUACUCUUGUUCAAUGUUGGUUCAGAUCUAGGGUUUUCUCAUUCGAAAUGGUUCUUAGAUCUAGAUACUUACGGGUGAUUCACCGUACAGUUCUGAAUCCCUAACCUUGGUUUGCUCAUCUUUGUUAUUGUUUAUGGAUAUGGUGGUGGUUCUUGCGUCUCAACAAAUGAUGUUCUUCCCCUAUGGUCAUCAAGGACUUUAUUCCACUGGUUGGAUGGAUUUGAAGAAAUUGUUGUUAGUCACUUUCAUCUCUACGAAUUAGCUGCUGGAGACUUGAUUCUGAGCCUAAAUGUCCAUAUCUACUGGUUGAUUAAUUUGACGCAAAUGGAAGGAGAGUUUGCACUGAAUAUCAAAGUGUUUUGGUUGAAUGGAAUUCCUUCACAACUCCCGGUUAAAGAUCGUCUUUUGGGUAUUAAUAAUCUUUAAAUCAAAGCUGCUAUCACCAGCUUUGCAGUCCGCAUUUUCUAGUCUAACGAGGCCAAAUCCAAUUGGCAGGGGAGAAACCUGUGCAGAGACGUCUGUUAAUUUGUUUUUUAGCAAGAUUGUGAAGCUAGCUGCUGUUAGAAUUAAUGGAAUGAUUGAAAGAGUACAAUUGUCGCAAGAAAUAAGCGAGAGGGUAUAUUGUCUUUUUCAGUAGAUUCUGAGCCAGCGAACCGCGUUGUUUUUCAACCGUUAUGUCGACCAGAUUAUCUUAUGUUGUUUCUACGGAGUUGCAAAGAUUUCCCAACUAAGCUUAACUUUCAAAGAGAUCAUCUACAACUAUAGAAAACAACCUCAUUGUAAACCUCAAGUUUUCCGUGCUGUGUUUGUUGAUGACAGGGCAUCUUCUCGGUCCAAUGGGGUAUAUAAAGGAAGUCUUCCGAACGGGCAGCUGAUUGCAAUCAAAAGAGCUCAAGAAGGAUCUUCACAGGGUGGGCUCAAGUUUAAAAAUGAGAUCGAACUUCUUUCAAGAGUUCAUGACAAGAAUGUGGUGGGCCUCAUCGGAUUUUGUUUCGAUAAGGGUGAACAAAUGCUGCUUUAUGAGUAUAUCGUGAAUAUGGGACACUCAAGGAUAGUCUUUCCGGUCAUAGGUUGGUGAAUGUGGUAUUCUGAGUAUCUUAUUCUUGAGAGAAGUUGGUGAAUAAUUCGUGCAUCUGAACCAUCGGAAUUGUCAUGAUGAUGGAUGUUAGUUUAGAUUGCAAUCCUUUUUAAGCUUGUUUGUUUUUCUUGUUUUUUAUGUUUUUUUUUUAUAGUUUGGUGAUUUACUUUCUAUGAUAUUUCUCUUAUUUUGCAUUUGGUAUAAAUUCUAGAUGUGAAUGAUUCUUGACUAGGUAUGUAGCUGGUUUUGGUUUUUUCUCGACUCUUGAAUUAUAACAAAUGUACCAUAAUACUUUGUGAUUUC